rnacentral:snoRNA from 1 species
AUGACUAUACUUUCAGGGAUCAUUUCUAUAGUUUGCUACACAGUAUAGUAUUGUCAAUUAUAGUCACCAUGUUAUACAUUGGGCUUCCCUUGUAGCUCAGAUGGU